CGAUGACAACAAUAUACAGUAUAUCAGUUGUUCUGUAUAUCAGUUGUGUCAGAGGAAUUGUUCAUUUCAGAGAACAGACAUGAAACAGACCUGGAAUCCCUUGAUGCUUGCUGAAGGUGUUUGCCAUGAAGCGUGGUGUUGUAGGCAUCAGAGGCAUCAAGACUGGCUUGUAUCUCUGUAUGAGCCAAGAGGGCAUCGCACACGGAGCAGUACAGUUCUCAUCUGACUGUCUGUUCAAGGAGAACCUGGAGGAGAACCACUACACCACCUUUUCCUCCCUGUCUCACCCAGGCAUCUACUUGGCCCUGUCCCAUAAAGGAGAGGCCAAGAGGGGGACCAGCGUUGGGAGACUCCAGCCCUGCACACACUUCCUCCCUCGCAGAGCUCCAUAAGUAACCCCUGUGCAACCCUUUUACAACCUUUCUACAACCAAUGACCCCAACCCAGGGGUCACAACUGUAACUGUGAAGAGAAUCCUGUAAAUCCCUACAACGUUGAAAUAACCCAAAAUGUUGGGCAUUUCACCCUUUAACCCAGUGUGACUGAUAUACUUGAAAUUACAUUGGAAACAGUGUAGCAACAGAGGAAAAGCAAAUUGACAUAUAAUGGUAGACUAACUCUAAGGGUCAAUGCACACAUAGCUCUUGUGAUGCUCUGUUAGCAUAACUGGAUGUAAAUGGACUGGACUGGAUUAAAGGAACAUCUGUUAGAAAUAUGAGGAUAUUUAUGGACAAAAAUAUUUGUUUUUUAAGUCUACAGUGGAAGUCAGAUUGAGUUGUGGUCAUUACACUUGCCUUUUUUCAACUUUCACAUAAUUUAUUAUAUUUAUCAGGGUUGGCCCUAGCCUUUUGGGCAAAACAUUUUAGUGGCCUCCCUCAUGAUGUUUGAGGGAGGCCAAUUCUCCAAUUCUACACAUUUUGCCAUGGGGCGGAGAGAAAAUGUUGCCAUUUUAUUUUUUUAAAUUCUAUAUUUCUAUACAUUUUGAGAGAAAAAAAUAGCAGUUUUAAAGCACAUUUCCUGAAUAUCUACCCAUUUUCCCAUGACUUAUGCCAUGUUAAUGAUAUCUGAGUGAGAGUGACUAACAAAAUAAAUGUGGGCCCCCUGGAGGUCAGGGCCCCUGGACACCUUCCCUGCAUGCCUAGUCAGUAUUCGGCCAUGAUUACGAAGUUAGAUAGCUGGGUAGACUAACUUACCAAUCAAAACAUUUUUGUGACUGUCAGUGACUGACACAACAAGAGAAAAACUGCUGAUGUACAACCCAAUUUUGGGGGUUUUGGGAAAAGCAGUCAUACGCGACCACUUAUGUUGCUUAUGCCUGCAGUCGGCCCUGAUAUUUAUUACAAUUUACUAUGAAUAUACACUUCCCUCGGUAUAUAUUUGGACAGUGUUACAAAAAUAAAUAUUUGUUUGGCUCUAUACUCCAGAAAAAAAUACCACCAAGUGUCUAGUCACAAGCUUGAUGUAAUCAUUGUGUGCAAGUAAUAUGGGACCAAAUACUCAACUUUUGACUACUUUAAUACACAAUAAGUGAAAUUUGUCCAGAUACUUAUGACAUCUUCAAAUGGUGGGACUAGAUACUGUAUAUAAAGUGCUUUCAUUACAAAACAGUCAAUCAGAUAUGUUAUGAAAUGAAAAUAACUUAAAAUAAAAUGUGACAUUCCGUAUUGUCACCUCACCUUCAACUCAAAUCCAAAAUGCUGGAGUAUAGAUCUAAAUAAAUACAUGUUGACAUCCUUGACUUUGUUGUCUUUAAGCCAUUUUGCCACAACUUUGGAAGUAUGCUUGGGGUCAUUGUCCAUUUGGAAGAACCAUUUGCGACCAAGCUUUAACUUCCUGACUGAUGUCUUGAGAUGUUGCUUCAAUAUAUCCACAUAAUUUGCCAUCGUCAUGAUGCCAUCUAUUUUUGUGGAGUGCGCCAGUCCCUCUUGUAGCAAAGCACCCCACAACAUGAUACUGCCACCCCCGUGCUUCAUGGUUGAGAUGGUGUUCUUCGGCUUGUAAGCCUCCCCCUUUU